rnacentral:rRNA from 1 species
UACGGAGGGUGCAAGCGUUAAUCGGAAUUACUGGGCGUAAAGGGUGCGUAGGUGGUUUGAUAAGUUAGUUGUGAAAUUCCCGGGCUCAACCUGGGCACUGCAACUAAGACUGUUAGACUCGAGUAUGGGAGAGGGUAGUGGAAUUUCCGGUGUAGCGGUGAAAUGCGUAGAGAUCGGAAGGAACACCAGUGGCGAAGGCGGCUACCUGGCCUAAUACUGACACUGAGGCACGAAAGCGUGGGGAGCAAACAGG